rnacentral:rRNA from 1 species
GGGCAUAAAGGGUGUGCAGACGGUUUAUUAAGUUGCUUGUUUAAUUCUUCGGCCUAACCGAAGGCUCGCAAGCAAAACUGGUAGACUUGAGGAUGGAAGAGAGAAGUGGAAUUCUCGGAGUAGCGGUAAAAUGCGUAGAUCUCGAGAGGAACACCAAUGGCGAAGGCAGCUUCUUGGUCCAUUCCUGACGUUCAUACACGAAAGCGUGGGGAGCAAACAGGAUUAGAUACCCUGGUAGUCCACGCCGUAAACGAUGAUCACUAGACGUCAGUUUCGUUAACGAAUUGGUGUCGUAGCUAACGCGUUAAGUGAUCCGCCUGGGGACUACGGUCGCAAGACUAAAACU